rnacentral:rRNA from 1 species
GAUGAACGCUGGCGGCGUGCCUAAUACAUGCAAGUCGAGCGAACAGACGAGGAGCUUGCUCCUCUGACGUUAGCGGCGGACGGGUGAGUAACACGUGGAUAACCUACCUAUAAGACUGGGAUAACUUCGGGAAACCGGAGCUAAUACCGGAUAAUAUAUUGAACCGCAUGGUUCAAUAGUGAAAGACGGUUUUGCUGUCACUUAUAGAUGGAUCCGCGCCGCAUUAGCUAGUUGGUAAGGUAACGGCUUACCAAGGCAACGAUGCGUAGCUGACCUGAGAGGGUGAUCAGCCACACUGGAACUGAGACACGGUCCAGACUCCUACGGGAGGCAGCAGUAGGGAAUCUUGCGCAAUGGGCGAAAGCCUGACGGAGCAACGCCGCGUGAGUGAUGAAGGUCUUCGGAUCGUAAAACUCUGUUAUUAGGGAAGAACAAAUGUGUAAGUAACUAUGCACGUCUUGACGGUACCUAAACAGAAAGCCACGGCUAACUACGUG